ensembl:processed_transcript
GGGGCGGGUGGAGGAGGGAGGGAAGGAGGGAGAGCAAGGGAGGGAAGAAGGGAGGCUGAGCAGCCGGGAGACUCCCAGCCACCAGCAAGCUUUAUGUAGGUCCAGUGCUGGACUCAGCUGAGUUGGGUAAAUCAGACUUGCUGCCUGCCCUUAUGAAAACCAUGAUCUGCUACCAACCUGUGGGCCAGGAAGUCAUGCACCUGCCUCUGGAUCCCUCUGGUACCUGUGAAAUCUAGAUCCCCAGGCCUGCUCUCUGGAAAUAUAAAUCUGGUGACAUAAAGAAAUGAAGAUGGACUAGGAGGAAUUGCUGAGGAGAGUGAGAAAGAGCAGGGGAGAUCCUGGGUUCACACCAAGGGACAGAGUCUCCAGAGAAUAAAGGAAGAUGCUUCCAUUUUGGUGUACUGUGAGGCGAGUGAUCCUAGAGUUUAAGUAGCACUACCCUGGAGAUGGAAGAUAG